rnacentral:rRNA from 1 species
UACGUAGGGGGCUAGCGUUGUCCGGAUUUAUUGGGCGUAAAGAGCGUGUAGGCGGCCAUGUAGGUCCGGUGUGAAAACUCGAGGCUUAACCUCGAGAUGUCAUCGGAAACCAUUUGGCUAGAGUCCGGAAGAGGAGAGUGGAAUUCCUGGUGUAGCGGUGGAAUGCGCAGAUAUCAGGAGGAACACCGGUGGCGAAGGCGGGUCUCUGGGCCGAUACUGACGCUGAGGAGCGAAAGCGUGGGGAGCGAACAGG